rnacentral:rRNA from 1 species
GGGUCAGUAGGUUGGUCGUGCCACCGGUACGUACUGGUCUCACUGAUUCCUCCUUCCUGAAGAACCGUAAUGCCAUUAAUUUGGUGUUGCGGGGAAACAGGACUGUUACUUUGAAAAAAUUAGAGUGUUUAAAGCAAGCUAACGCUUGAAUACAUUAGCAUGGAAUAAUGAAAUAGGACGAUCGAUCCUAUUUUGCUGGUUUCCAGGAUUGACGUA